rfam:Ictidomys tridecemlineatus contig025879, whole genome shotgun sequence.
GGAGGUGUAGCUCAGUGGUAUAGGGUGUUUGCCUAGGAUGUACAAGGUCCUGGGUUUAAUACCUAGUACCUCCU